rnacentral:piRNA from 1 species
UACAGUUAUAACUGUUUCUGUUGCGCCUC